UACGUAGGUGGCAAGCGUUGUCCGGAAUUACUGGGCGUAAAGCGCGCGCAGGCGGUCGAGUUAGUCGAAUGUGAAAGCCCCCGGCUCAACUGGGGAGGGUCAUUCGAUACUGUUCGACUGGAAGGCAGGAGAGGGAAGUGGAAUUCCCGGUGUAGUGGUGAAGUGCGUAGAUAUCGGGAGGAACACCAGUGGCGAAGGCGACUUCCUGGCCUGUUCUUGACGCUGAGGCGCGAAAGCUAGGGGAGCGAACGGG
rnacentral:misc_RNA from 1 species